rnacentral:lncRNA from 1 species
UGUAAUUUAUGAUAUCAUUCAGCGAUUGCAACCUGUUGCUAAGUUCAGCCAUCUGAACCCUAAGAAUCGCAUUCUCACCUUCCACGUUCAGGUACAUCUGAGUAGUUACCCCUACGUUUCUGCUUAUUUGAUUGUUCUCUUUUUUUAGAUAUUCAAUUUGGUUGUUAAGAUCUUCCAUGUGUUGUUGUUUCUUCAUUCUUGAUCUUCGUGCCGAUUCCCUAUUCGAUUGCAUUCUCUUCCUUUUCUUUUGAUCCAUAACAUGCACCUGUUGUUGUUGAAUAUCUCCCUCUGAUCCAGAUCCAGAGUUUUGAAGAGAGCUUGUUCCAGAUGAAUAUGCUCCACCAGGAGAAGCCAUAGGUAGUUAGGUUUUAAAUCGCGGUCGCGAGUUGCGAUCUUUGAUUUGAUUGAUGCAGCCUCAAUUGCAGAUGCGACUGUUCGCUUAAGACUCAAAAACUUUGAUGUGGCGAUUUAGAUAGUGGUAAUUAGUAUUUAAUUAGAUAGUUAAAUUGAUUAGAUAGAUAGAAUGAAACUAGAUUUGUAUUGGAAAGAAAAUUGGAAAAAAUAGGGUUAGUUCAUGAGAAAAUAUAGAACCAAUAGAGGAAAACAACAGAGAAAGAUUGAACUAAAUGUGUCCUGCGUCUGAGAGUGGAGUUUAUCAUAAAACCAGAGAUCUCACAGAUUACUGGAGACAUUUGUGUUGUUUUUCAAUCAUUCAUAAUAACUAUAUUAACAAAGAAAACAAGAUUUCUCUGUGAAGGUUAUAAGAGCAAUAAAUCAAAGUUUAAUAAUGAGUUUAGAGGGUUUCUAAUUAAGGAAGUUUAUAUGGGUUUAUUGUAAUGGAUGGUUGAGGAGAUUGUGUGUAUGAGAUGAUUAUAUGAAGAAGAAAAUUGUUGUUCUAGAAGUUGGACAAGGGUGUCAAAGACUAUGGGCAGAGAGAUAAACACUAAUUUGAUCUUUAGACAAGAAAAGAUUUAUGAUAAGAAAGAAUAUGCAAAUGAAAAAAGAGGUAUGAGAUUUGACCAAUUUUUAGGAGGAGGUGAUGAGAAGAGAAGGAAAGAGGUUUUGAAGGGAUUCAGUGGUUGAAUUUAUAGAAAAAAAUGUAUGCCCAUUGUAUGAUUAUUGAAUUAAAAUAAAAUAAAAAAUUGAGGAAUGGGUUAGGUGUUGGUCAUUACUAAUGGCAUGUAGUGCAGAAUUAAAACAAAAAAUAUACUAUAAUACAGAUAGAAUAGAAAAAGACAGUGAAAGUGGGGCAAAAGGAGCUGCAUACAAUGUUUCUUAAUUAAAUAUUCACAUUUUAUAAAAAAAAUUAAAAUUAAUUUACAAAUAUUAAUACUGUAGAUACAUACAUUAUGUUGAUAUAAUAGAUUGACAAUAUGAUAUAAAAUAAGAAAUAGAAUAAAGUAAAAAAUUAAAUGAAUGUAAAAAAUACUAGGUGUUGUGUUAUUUUUGUUUCAUUUAUUAAUGAGAGAAUUGAGUAGGGUUGAAAUUGGAAUUUUAAUAGUAACUUGUGACAACGUGAACCCGUGAGCGGGAAAGGAAGGGACUUGGAAAGCAUCAGACAAGAGGACAACAAUGGUCACUUUUCCUAUUCAUGUGCACGCGCAUAUAUAUUCUUAAGAUUUCAUGGUAGUUUUUUAUUUAUCAUGAAAAAAUUUAAAACAAAUGUACUCAUUAAUUUAUAAAACUUUUAUGUUUAAAACUCAUUCAACGUCGCCUAAAUUACCCACCAAAAUAACUUCGCAAAACAAAUUAGACUAAACCUAAAAAAACCUUGAGUGUAUUUUUUUUUAUUUUCUUACCAUUAUUCCUCCAUAAUUAGUUAACUGUUAACUAAUUGAUUAGUCAUUAUUAUUUGAGAUUGUCUUUUGAAAGCAAUUUUAUUAUAAAUAGUUUUGUUUCGUUUAAUUUAUCUUUUCAAAACAUACUAAAAUCACAAAAGAGAUUACACAAACGCAGAACAAUAGAAUCAGACAAUGACAUGCAUUUUGUAUAAAUAAAAUUUAAUGUAAAGAUUUUAUUUAUAGGUUAAAUUUAAUACCUUAACUUUAUAAGUAUAUUUAGUCUCCUC